UACAGGGGGUGCAAACGUUGCUCGGAAUCAUUGGGCGUAAAGCGCACGUAGGCGGUCUGUUAUGUCGGAUGUGAAAGCCCUCGGCUCAACUGAGGAAGUGCAUCCGAAACUGGCAGGCUAGAGUACUAAAGAGGGUCGCGGAAUUCCCGGUGUAGAGGUGAAAUUCGUAGAUAUCGGGAGGAACACCAGUGGCGAAGGCGGCUCACUGGACCGGCAUUGACGCUGAGGUGCGAAAGCGUGGGGAGCAAACAGG
rnacentral:rRNA from 1 species